rnacentral:rRNA from 1 species
CAGCAGCCGCGGGAAUACGAAGGGUGCAAGCGUUACUCGGAAUUACUGGGCGUAAAGCGUGCGUAGGUGGUUGUUUAAGUCUGCUGUGAAAGCCCUGGGCUCAACCUGGGAAUUGCAGUGGAUACUGGGUCACUAGAGUGUGGUAGAGGAUAGUGGAAUUUCCGGUGUAGCAGUGAAAUGCGUAGAGAUCGGAAGGAACAUCUGUGGCGAAGGCGACUAUCUGGGCCAACACUGACACUGAGGCACGAAAGCGUGGGGAGCAAACAGGAUUAGAGACCCCUGUAGUCCCUGUCUCUUAUAA